UUUUUGCCGCUCUAAGUAUAAGCAUGUGAAUAUGUAUAGGCAAAAAAUAUUUCUAGUAACUGGGCUCAAGCUGUGUCUCAGUUCAUUCAUUCUAAAUCAUUUUUCCAAAAUUGCAGUCUCCAAUAGGGCAUGGGAUGGGAAAACCCAAGCUUAUUCAAAGAGCUGAGGUGAAGCUCUUUGUCUAUCAAGUAUAAGCAUGUAAAUGCAUAUAUGCAAAAGAAAUUUCUGGUAAUUGGGCUCAAGUUGUGUCUCAAUUCGUUCAUUCUGUAGCACAUUUCCAAAAAUUGCAUCCUCCAACAAGGCAUGACAUGAGAAAGCCGAAACUUAUUCAAAGACCUAAUGUUAAACUCUAUAUACUCUCAAGUAUAA
rnacentral:lncRNA from 1 species